GUACACGGUGGAUGCCCUGGCAGUCAGAGGCGAUGAAGGACGUGCUAAUCUGCGAUAAGCGCCGGUAAGGUGAUAUGAACCGUUAUAACCGGCGAUUUCCGAAUGGGGAAACCCAGUGUGAUUCGUCACACUAUCAUUAACUGAAUCCAUAGGUUAAUGAGGCGAACCGGGGGAACUGAAACAUCUAAGUACCCCGAGGAAAAGAAAUCAACCGAGAUUCCCCCAGUAGCGGCGAGCGAACGGGGAGGAGCCCAGAGCCUGAAUCAGCAUGUGUGUUAGUGGAAGCGUCUGGAAAGGCGCGCGAUACAGGGUGACAGCCCCGUACACAAAAGCGCAUGUGCUGUGAGCUCGAUGAGUAGGGCGGGACACGUGGUAUCCUGUCUGAAUAUGGGGGGACCAUCCUCCAAGGCUAAAUACUCCUGACUGACCGAUAGUGAACCAGUACCGUGAGGGAAAGGCGAAAAGAACCCCGGCGAGGGGAGUGAAAAAGAACCUGAAACCGUGUACGUACAAGCAGUGGGAGCACCCUUCGGGGUGUGACUGCGUACCUUUUGUAUAAUGGGUCAGCGACUUAUAUUCUGUAGCAAGGUUAACCGUAUAGGGGAGCCGUAGGGAAACCGAGUCUUAACCGGGCGUUAAGUUGCAGGGUAUAGACCCGAAACCCGGUGAUCUAGCCAUGGGCAGGUUGAAGGUUG
rnacentral:rRNA from 1 species